rnacentral:rRNA from 1 species
AGAGUUUGAUCCUGGCUCAGGAUGAACGCCGGCGGUGUGCCUAAUACAUGCAAGUCGUACGCACUGGCCCAACUGAUUGAUGGUGCUUGCACCUGAUUGACGUUGGAUCACCAGUGAGUGGCGGACGGGUGAGUAACACGUAGGUAACCUGCCCCGGAGCGGGGGAUAACAUUUGGAAACAGAUGCUAAUACCGCAUAACAACAAAAGCCACAUGGCUUUUGUUUGAAAGAUGGCUUUGGCUAUCACUCUGGGAUGGACCUGCGGUGCAUUAGCUAGUUGGUAAGGUAACGGCUUACCAAGGCGAUGAUGCAUAGCCGAGUUGAGAGACUGAUCGGCCACAAUGGAACUGAGACACGGUCCAUACUCCUACGGGAGGCAGCAGUAGGGAAUCUUCCACAAUGGGCGCAAGCCUGAUGGAGCAACACCGCGUGAGUGAAGAAGGGUUUCGGCUCGUAAAGCUCUGUUGUUGGAGAAGAACGUGCGUGAGAGUAACUGUUCACGCAGUGACGGUAUCCAACCAGAAAGUCACGGCUAACUACGUGCCAGCAGCCGCGGUAAUACGUAGGUGGCAAGCGUUAUCCGGAUUUAUUGGGCGUAAAGCGAGCGCAGGCGGUUGCUUAGGUCUGAUGUGAAAGCCUUCGGCUUAACCGAAGAAGUGCAUCGGAAACCGGGCGACUUGAGUGCAGAAGAGGACAGUGGAACUCCAUGUGUAGCGGUGGAAUGCGUAGAUAUAUGGAAGAACACCAGUGGCGAAGGCGGCUGUCUGGUCUGCAACUGACGCUGAGGCUCGAAAGCAUGGGUAGCGAACAGGAUUAGAUACCCUGGUAGUCCAUGCCGUAAACGAUGAGUGCUAGGUGUUGGAGGGUUUCCGCCCUUCAGUGCCGGAGCUAACGCAUUAAGCACUCCGCCUGGGGAGUACGACCGCAAGGUUGAAACUCAAAGGAAUUGACGGGGGCCCGCACAAGCGGUGGAGCAUGUGGUUUAAUUCGAAGCUACGCGAAGAACCUUACCAGGUCUUGACAUCUUGCGCUAACCUUAGAGAUAAGGCGUUCCCUUCGGGGACGCAAUGACAGGUGGUGCAUGGUCGUCGUCAGCUCGUGUCGUGAGAUGUUGGGUUAAGUCCCGCAACGAGCGCAACCCUUGUUACUAGUUGCCAGCAUUAAGUUGGGCACUCUAGUGAGACUGCCGGUGACAAACCGGAGGAAGGUGGGGACGACGUCAGAUCAUCAUGCCCCUUAUGACCUGGGCUACACACGUGCUACAAUGGACGGUACAACGAGUCGCAAGCUCGCGAGAGUAAGCUAAUCUCUUAAAGCCGUUCUCAGUUCGGACUGUAGGCUGCAACUCGCCUACACGAAGUCGGAAUCGCUAGUAAUCGCGGAUCAGCAUGCCGCGGUGAAUACGUUCCCGGGCCUUGUACACACCGCCCGUCA